rnacentral:misc_RNA from 1 species
UCUCCGUUGGUGAACCAGCGGAGGGAUUAUUACCGAGUUCCAGCAACUCCCAACCCUUGCGAACCGUACCCCAGUCUGUUCUCGUUGCUUCCGGCAGGCGGGGGGGGCCACCUGGCCCCUCCCCCUGCCGGGGGCGGCGGGCCCUCAGAACCCUUAUAUCUCAACCACUGAAACCCGUCUGAGCAAAACAAAAAAUAAUCAAAACUUUCAACAACGGAUCUCUUGGCUCUG